ACCACGUGGAGGAAAAGCACGCGAGUUUGGAGCGGGUGGAGCAGGAACAGAGGUGGACUGGAAUGUCACACGACGGGGCAGCUGGAAGUGCACAAAAACACUCUCCACACCAAGCUGCUGCUGCUGGGGGAUGGAGGGAUGGCGUCAGCGAUUCAAGACUGUUUUUCCUACCUGUUCAGCACUUCUUUCAGCGAUAUGAAGUUAAAUCCAGUCCUCACUGUCCCCAGAAGGAAGAGAGGCACACAGCGCUCCCCAGCCGCUGGAAUCCAGGAAGAAUUGAGGUGCUCAAGACCCACCACCUCUUUGCCUGCAAACUCUAAGCUCACUGUCCUGCUCCCUUGCUCCCAGAAGUGGCACUGGAUGGAUCCCAUCCAGGUCAGCCCAGGCUGUCAUUUCCUCCCCUUCUGUACCUAAUCUCAGCGAGAUGAAGAGUUUACACCUGUUUCUCACUUGAAUUAGGGAAGUCUAGUUUGCAUUCUCCUGACUGGAUGGGCCUGCAUUGAAUCUUUCAUCUCAUUGGUCUGGGGAUUUGGUUCUGAAGACCAAUGCCUUCCAGAAUCUUCCUGUCUCUCCCCAAAUUCUGGGCGGUUCUGUUUCCAGCACUCAUCCAUGAUGGGGGGGUACAGGAAAUGAGUGUUGAGGGAAAGGCAUCCCACCUUCUCUCUGUUCCAUCUUCCAGAUCUGACAACUCACUGGAAAGUUCUUCUCUGUGUCCCUGUCCCCCGUCUGGUUCUGAGGCCGCUGCUUUCCCCAGCCUUGGUGCCUUGGGUUUUCUGCUCUGUGAAAUGAACCAGGUCCCUUAUCCUGUUCUCCCCUGAAGAAAAGAGGGUGUGGGGGGCUUGGCACAGGAAAUGGCCCUUGCCUUUCACAGGCUUUGGGGUCUGAGGGCAGCUCU
rnacentral:lncRNA from 10 species